GUGGCGGACGGGUGAGUAACACGUGAGCAACCUGCCUAUCAGAGGGGGAUAACGAUUGGAAACGAUCGCUAAUACCGCAUGACAUAGCGGAAUCGCAUGGUUCUGUUAUCAAAGAUUUUAUCGCUGAUAGAUGGGCUCGCGUCCGAUUAGAUAGUUGGUGGGGUAACGGCCUACCAAGUCGACGAUCGGUAGCCGGACUGAGAGGUCGAACGGCCACAUUGGGACUGAGACACGGCCCAGACUCCUACGGGAGGCAGCAGUGGGGGAUAUUGCACAAUGGGGGAAACCCUGAUGCAGCGACGCCGCGUGAGGGAAGACGGUCCUCUGGAUUGUAAACCUCUGUCUUCGGGGACGAAACGAGACGGUACCCGAGGAGGAAGCCACGGCUAACUACGUGCCAGCAGCCGCGGUAAUACGUAGGUGGCAAGCGUUGUCCGGAAUUACUGGGUGUAAAGGGAGCGUAGGCGGGCAGGCAAGUCAGGCGUGAAAUAUAUCGGCUCA
rnacentral:rRNA from 1 species